AUAAAGGUACUGAAUCAAUGCGUCAAGAAAAGUAAGAGAAAAAAAUCAAUGAAAUUAUGUUCUAUUCCAGUCUCAAACUAUAAGAAACGUUCCACAAAAAACAUGAUACUAGGCAAAAUUCCAGCAGUCAACAAUCAAACACAAUCAAAAAGCUCUGCUCUGGAUUUCAAUGCUUGGUAAAAGAAAGAAAAACUCCCUUGAAGAGAGAAACUUCAGUCAAUAAAGAGAGCUAAUCUUUUUUGUUCAAAAAGUGCCCAUGGCACUUUCUUAACACCUCAAUAAAGAAAGUUCGUCGAUUUUAACGCACUUUCUUGUGUUAUGCAUAAUAUAGCGUAUUAAAAAUAAAAAGCUUCCCUCCGUAUGUAUGGUUAACAAGUAACCCAAAGGCACUCGUUAACAAGACUCCUUAUAAAACCUUCAUUCAUAGGAAUCCUAUCGACAAAAGCAAACCUAACGCUAUUAGACUCUAAAACUCAUGUUAAGAACCAAAAGGACUCCAAAUCAUAAAACUUCCAUGCCAAUUGCAAUAACUCAAGCAGUAAUUUUUAGUUGUAUGCUCCUGAACCAAAACAAUACAGUGCCAUCCACUGGUCAGAUCAAGAUAAUCAUUGAAUUAAACCAGAAGAUUUUCUUCGCUGAACAAAACAAGG